UUGACCUCAAAUCAGGUAGGACUACCCGCUGAACUUAAGCAUAUCAAUAAGCGGAGGAAAAGAAACUAACAAGGAUUCCCCUAGUAACUGCGAGUGAAGCGGGAAGAGCUCAAAUUUGAAAUCUGGCGGUUCUUGACCGUCCGAGUUGUAAUCUAGAGAAGUGCUACCUGUG
rnacentral:rRNA from 1 species